AACGAACGCUGGCGGCAUGCCUAACACAUGCAAGUCGAACGAGACCUUCGGGUCUAGUGGCGCACGGGUGCGUAACGCGUGGGAAUUUGCCUUUAGGUUCGGAAUAACUCAGAGAAAUUUGAGCCUAAUACCGGAUAAAUGUCUUCGGACCAAAGAUUUAUCGCCUUUAGAUGGGGCCCCGCGUUGGAUUAGCUAGUUGGUGGGGUAAAGCCUACCAAGGCGACGAUCCAUAGCUGGUCUGAGAGGAUGAUCAGCCACACUGGGACUGAGACACGG
rnacentral:rRNA from 1 species